rnacentral:rRNA from 1 species
UACGGAGGGUGCAAGCGUUAUCCGGAUUCACUGGGUUUAAAGGGUGCGUAGGUGGGUUGGUAAGUCAGUGGUGAAAUCUCCGGGCUUAACCUGGAAACUGCCAUUGAUACUAUCAGUCUUGAAUAUUGUGGAGGUUAGCGGAAUAUGUCAUGUAGCGGUGAAAUGCUUAGAUAUGACAUAGAACACCAAUUGCGAAGGCAGCUGGCUACACAUAUAUUGACACUGAGGCACGAAAGCGUGGGGAUCAAACAGG